CCUACGGGAGGCAGCAGUGAGGAAUAUUGGUCAAUGGACGCAAGUCUGAACCAGCCAUGCCGCGUGCAGGAAGACGGCCCUAUGAGUUGUAAACUGCUUUUGUACGAGGGUAAACGCAGAUACGCGUAUCUGCCUGAAAGUAUCGUACGAAUAAGGAUCGGCCAACUCCGGGCCAGCAGCCGCGGUAAUACGGAGGAUUCAAGCUUUAUUCGGAUUUAUUGGGUUUAAAGGGUGCGUAGGCGGUCGGAUAAGUUAGAGGUGAAAUCCCGAGGCUCAAAUUCGGAAUUGCCUCUGAUACUGUUCGGCUAGAGAGUAGGUGCGGUAGGCGGAAUGUAUGGUGUAGCGGUGAAAUGCUUAGAGAUCAUACAGAACACCGAUUGCGAAGGCAGCUUACCAAGCUACUUCUGACGUUGAGGCACGAAAGCGUGGGGAGCGAACAGGAUUAGAUACCCCAGUAGUC
rnacentral:rRNA from 1 species